rnacentral:rRNA from 1 species
AACAGGGGGUAAGCCCAGUAACGGCGAAGUGAAGCGGCAAAAGCUCAAAUUUUGAAAUCCCCCGGGAAUUGUAAUUUGAAGAGAUUUGGGUCCGGCCGGCGGGGGUUAAGUCCACUGGAAAGUGGCGCCACAGAGGGUGACAGCCCCGUGAACCCCUUCAACGCCCUCAUCCCAGAUCUCCAAGAGUCGAGUUGUUUGGGAAUGCAGCUCUAAGUGGUGGUAAAUUCCAUCUAAAGCUAAAUACCGGCGAGAGACCGAUAGCGAACAAGUACAGUGAUGGAAAGAUGAAAAGCACUUUGAAAAGAGAGUGAAAAAGUAGUGAAAUUGUUGAAAGGGAAGGGCUUGCAAGCAGACACUUAACUGGGCCAGCAUCGGGGCGGCGGGAAACAAAACCACCGGGGAAUGUACCUUUCGAGGAUUAUAACCCCGGUCUUUAUUUCCUUGUUAUCCCGAGGCCUGCAUUCUAAGGAUGCUGGCGUAAUGGUUGCGAGUCGCCCGUUAAAAAAGGGGGACAAAAAAAAAUUUAAAAUUGUUUUGAUUUUUUUUUAAAUAUAUUGGGCUCUAAGCUGGAUUAAAUUUUACUCCCCUGUAUUAAGCUGUAUAAAAGU